CCGGACUCCUACGGGAGGCAGCAGUGGGGAAUAUUGCACAAUGGGGGAAACCCUGAUGCAGCAACGCCGCGCGAGUGAAGAAGUAUUUCGGUACGUAAGGCUCUAUCAGCAGGGAAGAAAAUGACGGUACCUGAUUAAGAAGCCCCGGCUAACUACGUGCCAGCAGCCGCGGUAAUACGUAGGGGGCAAGCGUUAUCCGGAUUUACUGGGUGUAAAGGGAGCGUAGACGGCAGCGCAAGUCUGGAGUGAAAUGCCGGGGCCCAACCCCGGAACUGCUUUGGAAACUGUGCAGCUCGAGUGCAGAAGAGGUAAGCGGAAUUCCUAGUGUAGCGGUGAAAUGCGUAGAUAUUAGGAGGAACACCAGUGGCGAAGGCGGCUUACUGGACUGUAACUGACGUUGAGGCUCGAAAGCGUGGGGAGCAAACAGGAUUAGAUACCCCGGUAGUC
rnacentral:rRNA from 1 species